rnacentral:pre_miRNA from 1 species
UCAUCCAGGGUCCUUGUUAAAAUGUAGAUUCCGAUUGAGUAAAGAUCUUAGCUUCUGGAUUUCUAACAAGUUCUUAGGUGAUGC